GCCCCUAUAGCCCAAUCGGUAGAGGCAGACGACUUAAAAUCGUCCGAGUCAGGGUUCGAGUCCCUGUGGGGGUACCG
rnacentral:tRNA from 1 species